AUCAACUUUCGAUGGUAGGAUAGAGGCCUACCAUGGUUUUAACGGGUAACGGAGAAUUAGGGUUCGAUUCCGGAGAGGGAGCCUGAGAAACGGCUACCACAUCCAAGGAAGGCAGCAGGCGCGCAAACUACCCAAUCCUGACACAGGGAGGUAGUGACAAUAAAUAACAAUACAGGGCUCUUUGAGUCUUGUAAUUGGAAUGAGUACAAUUUAAAUCCCUCAACGAGGAGCAAUUGGAGGGCAAGUCUGGUGCCAGCAGCCGCGGUAAUUCCAGCUCCAAUAGCGUAUAUUAAAGUUGUUGCAGUUAAAAAGCUCGUAGUUGAAUUUCGGGAUUCGUCCAUUGGUCAGGCUUAACUGUCUGUACUGGUGUGUCGGAUUUCUACCUUCUGAAGAACCUUUAUGCCAUUAAUUUGGUGUGUUGGGGAAUCAGGACUGUUACUUUGAAAAAAUUAGAGUGUUUAAAGCAGGCUAACGUCUGAAUACAUUAGCAUGGAAUAAUGAAAUAGGACGGUACGGUUCUAUUUUGUUGGUUUCUAGGAUCGCCGUAAUGAUUAAUAGGGAUAGUUGGGGGCAUUAGUAUUCAAUUGUCAGAGGUGAAAUUCUUGGAUUUAUUGAAGACUAACUACUGCGAAAGCAUUUGCCAAGGAUGUUUUCAUUAAUCAAGAACGAAAGUUAGGGGAUCGAAGACGAUCAGAUACCGUCGUAGUCUUAACCAUAAACUAUGCCGACUAGGAAUCAGACGAUGUUAAUUUUUUAAUGACUCGUUUGGCACCUUACGGGAAACCAAAGUGUUUGGGUUC
rnacentral:rRNA from 1 species